GUAGGUGGCAAGCAUUGUCCGGAAUUAUUGGGCGUAAAGCGCGCGCAGGCGGUUCUUUAAGUCUGAUGUGAAAGCCCACGGCUCAACCGUGGAGGGCCAUUGGAAACUGGGGGACUUGAGUACAGAAGAGGAAAGCGGAAUUCCAAGUGUAGCGGUGAAAUGCGUAGAGAUUUGGAGGAACACCAGUGGCGAAGGCGGCUUUCUGGUCUGUAACUGACGCUGAGGCGCGAAAGCGUGGGGAGCAAACAGGGAUUAGAUACCCUGGUAGUCCACGCCGUAAACGAUGAGUGCUAAGUGUUAGGGGGGUUUCCGCCCCCUUAGUGCUGCAGCUAACGCAUUAAGCACUCCGCCUGGGGAGUACGGCCGCAAGGCUG
rnacentral:rRNA from 1 species